UACGUAGGUGGCAAGCGUUGUUCGGAAUUACUGGGCGUAAAGGGCGCGUAGGCGGCCUUCUAAGUCGGACGUGAAAUCCCUGGGCUCAACCCAGGAACUGCGUCCGAUACUGGAAGGCUUGAAUCCGGGAGAGGGAUGCGGAAUUCCAGGUGUAGCGGUGAAAUGCGUAGAUAUCUGGAGGAACACCGGUGGCGAAGGCGGCAUCCUGGACCGGUAUUGACGCUGAGGCGCGAAAGCCAGGGGAGCAAACGGG
rnacentral:rRNA from 1 species